rnacentral:rRNA from 1 species
UACGUAGGCAGCAAGCGUUGUUCGGAGUUACUGGGCGUAAAGGGUGCGUAGGUGGCUCUAUAAGUAUGGUGUGAAAUCUCCCGGCUUAACUGGGAGGGUGCGCCGUAGACUGUGGGGCUAGAGUGUGGGAGAGGAGAGUGGAAUUCCUGGUGUAGCGGUGGAAUGCGCAGAUAUCAGGAAGAACACCCGUGGCGAAGGCGGCGAUCUGGGUCGAUACUGACGCUGAGGUGCGAAAGCGUGGGGAGCAAACAGG